GGCGUAGGUACAAUUUUGGAGGGCAUGGGGACUGUGGGCCCAUAAUUUCAGCCCCAGCGCAAGAUGAUCCAAUCCUGUUAAGUUUCAUCCGUUGUCUGCAAGCCAACCUGCUGUGUGUAUGGCGUCGUGAUGUCAAACCAGAUUGCAAAGAGUUGUGGAUAUUCUGGUGGGGAGAUGAACCCAACCUAGUUGGUGUAAUACAUCAUGAACUGCAGGGAUAGCCAUCUCUGAUUGCCAUAGCAACAUCCCAGAAGACAAUCUUCUUGAUCUAAUGGCAGCAUGUCAAGGAGUUACCUUGAGCAUAACUCUCAACUUUCUGAGAUUGUACUGGGGUUUUUAGUUUCAGAAGAAAGGUGAUAAUGUAUGUUAUAAUUCUUUCUGUGUCUUUCUGCUAUAGUUUUAUUGUUUGUAAGGACUGUGUAUGUUUAGGAAUUACUUGGGAUUCUUGAUAGUAUUUUAAGCCUGUUGUGUAGAAUUUGAUUGUUAGAGCUGAACAUAUUUGAUUUUGUUUUUUGUACAUGUGUUUUGCUCAGAAAGUAGGUUAAAAUUUUUCUUCUUUUUAAUGUGACCUGUAGAAGAUUAACUUUGAAUACCAAAUUAGGUUGGAGAAACAUAUUUUAUUUAACUUGCUCCAUAUGUGCUGUAUUUAUGAAUAAUUCUAGCUAUCUGUAAUUGUUUGGACCUUAAAAAUUUUUUUUUUCUAGUAGAAAAGGCCAGCUUAUAAGACAUACUGUUGUAGUAUACUUGGUUGAGAAGAAGAUUGUGGGAUUGAAUUCUUUGAUGCUCAGAAGUUUUGAUGAUUUCACGUGAGAGAAUCUAUUUUUCUUGAGUUACUUUUGUUCAAAUAGGAAAAUAAUAGUAUAAUCUCUAAUCAUUUGUAAAAAUUAACUGUCAUUAUUAAACAAUAAGUAACUUAAUCUCAUGUGUUUCUAAGAGGAUAUUAUUUAUAAACUAACUUUAAGUUUUGAUUACAGAGGUAUAAUAUGAUUCUCUGGUAGAUUUGGCUUCCUUAGAGAAAAUGUUGUAUAUAUGUAAUUUAAUAAACAUUUCAAAAACUU